rnacentral:rRNA from 1 species
AACGUAGGUGGCGAGCGUUAUCCGGAAUUACUGGGCGUAAAGCGUGUGCAGGCGGGGGGGGAAGUGGUGUAUGAAAUGUCCCGGCUCAACCGGGAGGGGUUAUACCAGACUGCAUCUCUUGAGUGCGAGAGAGGAGCGUGGAAUUCCGGGUGUAGUGGUGAAAUGCGUAGAGAUCCGGAGGAACCCCAGAGGCGAAGGCGGCGCUCUGGCUCGCAACUGACGCUCAGACACGACAGCAUGGGGAGCGAACGGG